rnacentral:rRNA from 1 species
UACAGAGGUGGCAAGCGUUGUUCGGAAUUACUGGGCGUAAAGGGCGCGUAGGCGGCCUUCUAAGUCAGACGUGAAAUCCCCCGGCUUAACCUGGGAACUGCGUCUGAUACUGGAGGGCUUGAGUGCGGGAGAGGAGUGUGGAAUUCCUGGUGUAGCGGUGAAAUGCGCAGAUAUCAGGAAGAACACCCGUGGCGAAGGCGGCUCUCUGGGACGGUACUGACGCUGAGGAGCGAAAGUGUGGGGAGCGAACAGG